ACCCCCGCCCAGGAUGGCGGAAGUGGAGGCGCCGACGGCGGCCGAGACGGACAUGAAGCAAUAUCAAGGCUCCGGCGGCGUCGCCAUGGAUGUGGAACGGAGUCGCUUCCCCUACUGCGUGGUGUGGACGCCCAUCCCGGUGCUCACGUGGUUUUUCCCCAUCAUCGGCCACAUGGGCAUCUGCACAUCCACAGGAGUCAUUCGGGACUUCGCGGGCCCCUACUUUGUCUCAGACAGGCCGGGAGGGCAGUGUGGCCAGAAGGAUUCUUAAGUAACUGACCCAGCCCUUUGCCCCCACCCCUGGGGUACCGAGACAUGGGUAGGGAUUAGAGGCAAGAGUGGAGAGUCAGACCAUCCAGGAACCACAUCUCUGGACCUUCAGAAGGAGGACAACAUGGCCUUUGGAAAGCCUGCCAAGUACUGGAAGUUGGACCCUGCUCAGGUCUAUGCUAGCGGGCCCAACGCAUGGGACACGGCUGUGCACGACGCCUCUGAGGAGUACAAGCACCGCAUGCACAAUCUCUGCUGUGACAACUGCCACUCGCACGUGGCAUUGGCCCUGAAUCUGAUGCGCUACAACAACAGCACCAACUGGAAUAUGGUGACGCUCUGCUUCUUCUGCCUGCUCUACGGGAAGUACGUCAGGUCCCUUCCUAGGCAGAGAGAUUGAGUGAGUCGCCCAUGGUCGCCACAGCAUGGACACAGCAGAGCCCAGACUCGUGAGCCAGCAUAGCGUUGGGGCCUUCGUGAAGACCUGGCUGCCCUUCAUCCUUCUCCUGGGCAUCAUCCUCACCGUCAGCCUGGUCUUUAACCUCCGGUGAUGGCUGCUCGGUGGCCCCACACCCACCAGGGUCCCGAGGAAACAGCCGCCAUCCCUUUUGGUUCCAGAUUUUUUUCUCCUCACCCCAAAAGGCAGGGUUGGGCCUGCUGUUGUGGACCGGGGGUCGGGGCUGGCAGGAUGGAAGGACUGAGGACCAGCAUGAAGUGGGGGUUUGUUGUCUCCCUGCCUCUCAGAAGCACCCUGUCCCCUCCUCCCCAGGCCUGUGACUCCGGCCCUGGAAGCCCCUUUGUUCUUCUGUUGAAAGGCUUUGGCUUCCCGCUGUAGAGCUGCUCCCGCCACCACCUGCUGGGGUCCUGCCUCAGCCCAGUGCCCAGUAUGGGGAGAGGAGGACAUUUGGGCUCACCUGUCAAGGUGGCCCUGGGACCAGAGCUGGUCCCAGCAUGGGGUGCACCGGGUACACUUAACGUGUCUCUAUAAGCCAAGUUGCUUCAGGACCUUCACCACUGGCCUCUAGAAUGGUCCAGAGGGGCUGGCUGGGUCCCUUUGUCAGACUCCUGCCGGCAGCUGCCCUGGGGGACAUGUGUGCCCAUCUGGCAUCCUCCAGCCCGUGCAGUCCGCUCUUCACUGUUCCACGGCCUCCCAGUGCCUCCCAGCAUUGGACCCAUCUCCCCCUGCAGUUUGAGGCCAGAGAGGUGAGUGGACCUGACAAGUGCCAGAGUAACCGUGUAGACAGAGCAGUGUAGACAGCACUCAGCCCCAGCCCCAGGUGUGGACCUCAUGCUGGUGAUGGCUCCCCUGGGUGGCCUGCCAGCACAGCCAGUGCCAUCAGGGAGCUGAAGGGGCUGUCCCCCACCUAACUCCAGCUCCCCCUUCACGUUGUCACCAAGGCCCUGUGCCGCCCGCCUCGCCCCCCUGCUCUGUGGAUUCCUUUGGGAAGGGCUCCCUGGGCAGGACAAUAAAGAGUUUUGACUCCA